rnacentral:misc_RNA from 1 species
GAAAUGUGAUAAGUAAUGUGAAUUGCAGAAUUCAGUGAAUCAUCGAAUCUUUGAACGCAUCUUGCGCUCGCUGGUAUUCCGGCGAGCAUGUCUGUUUGAGUGUCGUGAACUCUUCAAAUCCUUAAUUUUUUUUAUGAAUUUUAAGAUUUGGUUUUUGAAUAUUGUUGGAGAAUUUAAAUUCUCGAAACUUAUUCGUAAUACAUUAGCAUUCCCCAUUUCGAGAUCAGAUUGACUCGGCGUAAUAGAUUAUUCGCUGAGGAUUAUAGACUUGCGCUAUAAGCUGAACUUGUAAAUAUUUUUAGAAAGCUUCUAAUCACAUAAAUUCUAUAAGAUUUAGACCUCAGAUCAGGCAGGAUUACCCGCUGAACUUAA